rnacentral:rRNA from 1 species
GAUGAACGCUGGCGGCGUGCUUAAUACAUGCAAGUCGAACGGAGACAUUGUAGCAAUACGAUGUUCUUAGUGGCGAACGGGUGAGUAACGCGUUGGUGACCUGCCCCAAAGAGGGGGAUAACAGUCCGAAAGGAUUGCUAAUACCCCAUGUGGUCUCAGGGAUUAGAUGCCCUGAGUCAAAAGGAGUAAUCCACUUUGGGAGGGACCUGCGUCCCAUCAGCUAGUUGGUAAGGUAACGGCUUACCAAGGCUUUGACGGGUAGGGGACCUGAGAGGGUGGCCCCCCACAAUAGGAACGUAGAACAACGGUCCGACUACACCUACGGGAGGGCUG